rnacentral:rRNA from 1 species
CCCUUAGAUGUCCUGGGCCGCACGCGCGUUACACUGAUGCAUUCAACGAGCUUAUAACCUUGGCCGAGAGGCCUGGGCAAUCUUGUUAACGUGCAUCGUGAUAGGGAUAGAUUAUUGAAAUUAUUAAUCUUGAACGAGGAAUUCCUAGUAAACGCAGAUCAUCAAUCUGCAUUGAUUACGUCCCUGCCCUUUGUACACACCGCCCGUCGCUCCUACCGAUUGAAUGUGUUGGUGAGGAGCUCGGAUUGGCAGCAGUUGGUGGUUCGCCACCGGCUAUUGCUGAGAAGUCCUCCAAACCGCCCCAUUUAGAGGAAGGAGAAGUCGUAACA